CUAUUGGUUUGAACGCAUCACUCUAGUGUUGACCUUGAGCUACUGACAUUUAAAAACUGGAUGAAACAAACUUCAAUAUGUUUCCCCCUUUUCAGAGGAGAGCAGUUGCCAAUUGAGGCACACAGAAUGAAACCUAUUUAGAACAGAUGUUAGCUUCUUCUUCUUCUUCCUUUUUUUUUUUUGGAAGGAAAAAGUCACGUGAAAUGAGCAGAUGUUCAGUGCGGUGCGGAGGCUCACACAGUGCAUUGCGUCGCAGUGCGCGGACGGAAGGGAACCCGCACGGCACGCCGAACCGAGCCCGACAUCGCGCUUAGCGGCCCACAGCCUCCCGUUAAAUGGAUUUUAUCGGAAUGAUCGCGCGUGGACGUGCAGGAAUCAUCUUGCUGCACAAAAAGAAAAAAGAAAAGAAAAGCAAAGCAGGGGCGUCAUGGCGACACACAGCCCACUGUUUAAGGAACCACUUGGAUGUCAAGAACCGUGCCCCAUUCACUUGAGAACUUAGGUGGAUUUCAUACGAAAACCUAGUGCUCCAAUGUGUAGACACUUCACUUGAUAAAAACACUGAAUAUUAGGAAAAUAACCCCAAACUGAUUUGGAAGGAUGUCAAAAUGUAACAUGUAGUACAUAGCAUGUCAGCCAUUUUUGUGGAUGGUGUACUUACCAUUUGUCUUUUGUGUGUCAAUUUGUUUGUUUAUAAAACUAAUAUUAUUGUAAUUUACAUUACAACUAUACGAUUGCAAAGCCGCCAAACUUAGUUGUCAGAGCGAAAUGUUAUCGAUCAUCUUUUUGGCAAAUAACCUUUUGAUUCCUGUUUGCUGCAAUAAACCGAUGUCCCUGUCACAAAUUGAUCUGUGCCGUAUAUGUCUGACAACCUUGCUCAAAACAAUUUAUAGAGGAAGUUUGCAAAAAAUAUAUAUUGUUAACAGUCAUUAUAACUAUCGCUUUUUGUCAUAUUGAUAAAACUUCUCGUCAUUAUGACUUGACAGUAGUACAUGACAAUUUUGAUCUGUGAAAAAAAAAUGAGCCGCAUCUUGUACCUUAAUUUCAUGUACAAGAAACCACCACGCCCGAAGAAGAACAACCAAUCGUAGACAGGUGCGAUGAGAUGUGGCAGAAACAGAUUAUUCCCCCCCGCCCCCACAGAUAACAUUUAUCACGUACUCGUUACUGUCAAGUCGUAAUGACAAAAAGUUUUAAAAUACGACAGAUUUGAUUUAUUUAUUUGUUUUUAUUCACAAACUCUCCUUUAAUGUUUGUGUUUUUAUGUUGGAAAAUUGUAUUUCACUGCUGUAUAAUGUACAUUCAUAUCUAAAAACAUACAAUAAAUACUCCAGAAAUAUUUCU